GUAGUCCACGCCCUAAACUAUGUCAACUGGUUGUCGGGGAAGCAAUUCCUUGGUAACGAAGCUAACGCGUGAAGUUGACCGCCUGGGGAGUACGGCCGCAAGGUUAAAACUCAAAGGAAUUGACGGGGACCCGCACAAGCGGUGGAUUAUGUGGAUUAAUUCGAUGCAACGCGAAAAACCUUACCUACCCUUGACAUGUACGGAAUCCCCCAGAGAUGGGGGAGUGCCCGAAAGGGAGCCGUAACACAGGUGCUGCAUGGCUGUCGUCAGCUCGUGUCGUGAGAUGUUGGGUUAAGUCCCGCAACGAGCGCAACCCUUGCCAUUAGUUGCUACAUUCAGUUGGGCACUCUAAUGGGACUGCCGGUGACAAACCGGAGGAAGGUGGGGAUGACGUCAAGUCCUCAUGGCCCUUAUGGGUAGGGCUUCACACGUAAUACAAUGGCCGGUACAGAGGGCAGCCAACCCGCGAGGGGGAGCUAAUCCCAGAAAGCCGGUCGUAGUCCGGAUUGUAGUCUGAAU
rnacentral:rRNA from 1 species